GUCCAGACUCCUACGGGAGGCAGCAGUGAGGAAUAUUGGUCAAUGGGCGGAAGCCUGAACCAGCCAAGUCGCGUGAGGGAAGAAGGCCCUGCGGGUCGCAGACCUCUUUGGACGGGGAGCAAGGCCGCCGACGUGUCGGCGGAAGGAGAGUACCCGUAGAACAAGCAUCGGCUAACUCCGUGCCAGCAGCCGCGGUAAUACGGAGGAUGCGAGCGUUAUCCGGAUUUAUUGGGUUUAAAGGGUGCGCAGGCGGCACGGCAAGCCGGCGGUCAAAUCGCGGGGCUCAACACCGGCCUGCCGUUGAAACUGGUCUUCUUGAGUGAGCGAGAAGUAUGCGGAAUGCGUGGUGUAGCGGUGAAAUGCAUAGAUAUCACGCAGAACUCCGAUUGCGAAGGCAGCAUACCGGCGCUCAACUGACGCUGAGGCACGAAAGCGUGGGUAUCGAACAGGAUUAGAUACCCGAGUACA
rnacentral:rRNA from 1 species